UUCUUUCACUGUUGAAGGUAUAACCUGCCCAGUGCUUUGGUAAACGGCUGUGGUAUCCUGACCACACAAAGGUAGCAUAAUUAGUUGUCUCUUAAAAAGAGACUUGUUUGAAAGGUUUGACGAAAUAUUUCUUGUUUUAGUAUUUGUUUGAAUUUAAAUUCCAUAGUAAAGAUUCUUGGUUUGUUAAGAAAGACGAGAAGACCCUAAAACUUUUUACUUUUUAGUUUUGGAUGGGGGUAUCCAGUUUUAAAAUUUCUCACCAUUUUGUUGGUAUUUUUAAAGGUCCUUUAGGGUUAACAGGAUAAUCCACCUUUGGAGUUCUUAUUUGAAGGUGUGUUUAUUACCUCGAUGUUGAAUCAAUUUUUCCAAUCCUAGAAGUAUGGGUUUUGGUUGGUCUGUUCGACCAUUAAAAAAUUACG
rnacentral:rRNA from 1 species